UGGAAGAGCAUCCAUUUUUGAAUUCGCCCAACCGGCACCGACAUUCUAGAAGAGACGGAUCGAAUCGUCGACAGCUUCCUUCCUCCUCCUCCCGCUAGUCGGCGACCACCGAUGGCACCGGCCCAUACCCUGAGAUGGAUGGAGGAGGCCCAGUCGCGCACCUACGCGAUGAGCGCUGCCUUCGAGAUCUAGGAUUCCCACAGACGGCCUUCCAGCAGUUCCAGUACGCGUUCUUCUUCGCCUUCUACUUCAGAGUAUUCCUUUACCUCCUCAACGGUGCCCGAUGGCCUUCCACACCCUAUGCUCCCGCGUGUACCUCGGGUACCCCACCGUUGCCCAGGUAAUCGCUAGCUCGACUCUCAGAAUGGUACUCGGUGACGGAUGGUUCUGGAUAGUAAAUACGAUACUCGUGUAUUACUUUCCAGCGAUAGAGGAGAGCGGGAUUCUUCUAUGCGAUAGCUGCAAGGAAGAAAUUGGCCAAAAAUUCUGUUAUUAGUUGCGCAACAUAGAGUUUGACUUAGAAUUUAACAAGAGGAGAUGCAUGCAUGAAGCAAAAUGUCCAAAGGCACACAGGAAGGUUUUGCGAAAAUCUUUGAAGCAGCAAAUGAACUCAAUCGGGAGCUGACUGAAUCAUCUUUAUGUCGAGCCGGAAAUAGUAUUCGAUCAAGAAGGCGAUCAAGGAAGAGCUCGAGAAGGGGAUGCGAGCACCGACCUCGAUCGAAGUGAGUUGCCUCUGGUAGAACAUAUCGGCGGACUCCGGAACAGACACGCCGGUGGUCGGGUCGCGGUC